rnacentral:lncRNA from 1 species
AUGUAUCAAACUGUAAUAAGUAAAUGAUGUAAUAACUUAGAUUGUAUUUGAAGGAAUCAAAUGAGAACUGUGAUGUAAAAAUGUAUGAAUGUGAAUGUUUGUAAUAACAUAGGAUGUGUUAUGUUGUUGAUACCUUCCUUAUGCAAUCUGUUUGUUAAGUACUGUUCCUGGUUGGAACCUUUGUAUUGUAUUGAUUGCGAUGCCUUGAACGUACAGGGGAGACUCCGUCCGCAGUACGGGGGAAACCCGGUCCGUUCGGCGCUGUCGGC